GGUAGUUUAGUUUAAUAAAACUUAUAGAUUGCAAAUCUUUAGAUGUGAAUUUAUCACAACUACCU
rnacentral:tRNA from 1 species